ensembl:rRNA 5S_rRNA 5S ribosomal RNA
GUGCACGGUCAUAUCACCCUGAACGCGCCCAAUCUCGUCUGAUGUCGGAAGCUAAGCAGGGUCAGACCUGGUUAAUACUUGGAUGGGAGACAAAACAAAACAACAAACCGUGCAAG